AUGUUGUGUAGCCCGAACUACAGAUUCCCUCCCAGAGGUUCAGCGCCCGGAGUGCUUGCAGGCUUGGAGCCCUCUGAUGGCAGAGCACAGCCAGGCAGCUGCAGCAGCCUCUUGAAGGAAUUCCUCCUUGUGGUACAGGACCGAGACAACAGCAACGACAGGGACGGUUUCAGCAGUGUGUCGAAGCGACUUCAGCGAAGCUCUCUGCUUUCGCCAGCUCUGCUUUCAGCAGUUCUGCAUCGAUUUCAGCUUUGGGAAGGAUGCAGACAAGGACCUGUACAUGGGAACCGCUGUGUUUUGGCUGUUGGUGCCCCCCUUGUGCAUGGUAUGUGGCGAGGUGGGGAGCAGCAACGGGAUGCUCCUUACACAGCACCCAAGGAGGGCACUAAGGGGAGGUCCUGGGCUGAUUUAAAAAAAAAAGAAAUAAAAAGAAAUCCCCAAGCUCUCAUGGAACAGGUUGAGGUGCAGCAGUACAGAUAGCAGCAAAGCUGAUAAUGAAAGUUACAUUUCUUUGAAGCACAUUUGGGGUUUUUAUGUAGAUGUUGAAAUUGCUUUCUCUUCCGCACUGAGCCCGAUGCAGCCCAGCUCCUGCUUGCUUGCAGCGAUGUCCAAACAUGCCCUUAGUGCUGAGGACCAGGACAAGCGGUGUGCUCCUGGGGUCUCUGUCCUGCCCUCCAGUGACACUAAGCAGUGGUUUUAAUGAGGCUGCCUUUCAGCCCUGUUGUUCUUAAUCUGCAGGGGGCGAAAGUUGCUCCCAGACACCUUGGGCUGGUGAAAUGAGCAGGUUGGUGUGUGCUGGGGGUUGCUUCUCAUUCUGUUUUGACUGUCUGUGGCUUUCAGCUGCCCGAGGGUGGCUCAGCGAGCUGUGAGCUCCUCGCAGCGUUGUCCCUCCUGUGCUGUUCCUGGCAGUCUGGAGGGCACUGUUAGUGCUUGGGUUUUAUUUCUGAGGUGCGUAGCUCUCCCUCUGCAUUUCUGCAGGGAUAACAGCACCGUUUCCUCUGCAUGCUGUACUGGAAACACGGAUCUCACCGGUUUAAUAAGGACCUGCUGGCUCCUCUCACAUCGCGUGGCAGCAGUGCCUGUGUCCCCGCAGGGAUGUCCCACGGCGUGGCUGCUCUGCCUCCUCCCAGCCCUGCUGUAAGCUGCCAGGGACUUUAAGAAUUGUGCUUCCUCAGAGCAGAAAAGGGAUUUUAAGUUGCCUUCAUCAGGUUAGCAGCUCCAUACCAAAUCAUUUCCUGGCAGAUGUGAGCUGAUGUUGUUCAUGUUAGUAGCUGUGAUGGAGCCUCACUCACUCACUUACAGCUGGUGCUCGGUGCCCA
rnacentral:lncRNA from 1 species